CAGCACAUCUGCCUUGUGAAACUGGACCAUCUCACGCACUGCAGCAUUUACUAGACUCUCUCGAUCUGUUCCACAGCUUGGAACGUUUUAGAAGGUUUUUCUUAGUUAUUUUGUUGGAGAAGCCUCCCACAGAGAGAGAGAGUGUGUGUGUGUGUGUGUGUGUGUGUGAGAUCAGGUAUGAGAGGAGGAAGACAAGUGCAGCGUGUCUAUUCUAUCGAUCUGCCUAAAUACAUUUAACAGUUACGCAACAGUUUGAAACUGUAUAUCGUUUCAACAGAUCAUGUGUACAGUAACGUGCAAAUGUUUGCGUACCCUCAGGACAAAGACUUUUCAUUUAUAGCAUGAAAAUUCAGGUUUCCUGUGUCAGGUUUCAAAGAUCUUUUCAUAGUUCAAAUAUUGCUUGACAAGAUAUUAGUAGCCUUUUUUUAGGUAAAUAAAUUGUAAAAUAGAGGCAUUUUCUUUUCCCCCCCAGAAACCAUGUAGGGUGCAAACCUUUGCACUUCGUUGUACUUCAUCAUAUAUAUAAAUGAAAUUACUGUUUAGAUUCAAUCCUGCUUCAAUUCCUUCUUCAAGAGCGGCAUCCCUUGCCUUCUGAUCACACACACCUUCUCACUGUGUCUCAUGUUCUGUUUUUUUGGUUGUUUGUUUUUGUUUUUUUGCUCCUUUGGGUUGUGGUUUGAGUCCAUAUGCCUGCAUUGUUUAGCACUGUGCUUAGGCCUCAAGGUUGUAUGGACUUUGAUUGUUGCAUUCUUUACAUUUACAUCCUCUGAGGAAUCUGUCUGGAUAAAAUAAUAAUGACUUGACUUUACCUCUAGCCCUACAAAGGCUGCAGAACAUGUGUAGCGGCCUGGGGGGAAAAAAAUCUUUAGGCAGACUGUUUUUACCACAGCAUUUGUAAAGCUGGCUUCUUAACCUAACUGAUUUUUGCAGGAAGAUUAUAACUUUAUCCAUCGAUCCAUUUUCCAUACCACUGAUCCUACACAGGGUCACAUGGGAGCCUGGAGCCUAUCCCAGGGGACUCAGGGCGGAGGACACGCAGAGGAAAUCCCUGAAGCAUUGUGAGAACUUGCAAAUUUCACGCACUCAGGGCGGAGGUGGGAUUUGAAUCCCCAAAUCCUGAAGUAGCCCAAAUCUGGAUAUGAAACUUAUCAUGACCUCAGGGCUUCAUCGACAUCAACUGGAUCUAAAAGCAGUCAAGCUGAUUAGGGAGUGAGAUCCUGCUGCUCUGUUACCUGCGAGCCAGCCGUGGUGUGUAGGAGUAGAAGGUUGAAAAGUAGGAAGGAGGUGGUGCGGGUGGAACAAAGUCAUCAGGAUCAGGAAUGUGUGGCUGCUCUUCUUCCUCUGCAACGUUUCGUGG